rnacentral:tRNA from 4 species
GCCGCCUUAGCUCAGUAGGCAGAGCAACUCACUCGUAAUGAGUAGGUCGGGGGUUCGACUCCCCCAGGCGGCUCCA